rnacentral:rRNA from 1 species
GGUUUUUUUGUGGAGGGUUCGAUUCUGGCUCAGGAUGAACGCUGGCGGCGUGCUUAACACAU